CAUGCAGUCUCAGUACAGACUAUAUUAAAGUGAAACCGCAAAGGCUCAGUAAACCAGUUUUAAUUUACUAGAGUUAACUUGACUGUGCUUGGAUAACUGUGGUAAUUCUAGAGCUAAUACAUGCAACCAAGCCGUGACCAUUCGUGGUCAGGGCGCUUUUGUUAGACCAAGACCAAUCGCCCGGCCAGUCCGGGCGUUAAGUUGAGGAACCUAGAUAACACAGCAGAUCGCAUGGUCUCCGUACCGGCGACUUAUCUUUCAAAUGCCUGACUUAUCAACUGACGAUGGUAGACUCUGUGUCUACCAUGGCUGUUACGGGUAACGGGGAAUCAGGGUUCGAUUCCGGAGAGGGAGCCUGAGAAACGGCUACCACAUCCCAGGAAGGCAGCAGGCACGCAAAUUACCCACUCCCGGAACGGGGAGGUAGUGACAAAAAAUAACGAUACGGGACUCGAUAUGAGGCCUCGUAAUCGGAAUGAGUACACUCUAAAUCCUUUAACAAAAAUCUAUUGGAGGGCAAGUCUGGUGCCAGCAGCCGCGGUAAUUCCAGCUCCCAUAGCGUAUAUUAAAGUUGUUGCGGUUAAAAAGCUCGUAGUUGGUUCUGCGUCCCGCGCUGUCGGUACACCGUUUGUCGGUGACACUGGCAUGACGCGGGAUGUCCUGUCGGUGGCGGCGGAGACCAUAUCGCCCUCGGAUAACACCGCGGCGUGUUGGCCUUCUGUCGCCGGCUAUAUCCUACCGCGGUGCUCUUCACUGAGUGUCGAGGUAGGCCGACACGUUUACUUUGAACAAAUUAGAGUGCUUAAAGCAGGCAAAAAUCUCUGCCAGAAUAGUGGUGCAUGGAAUAAUGGAACAGGACCUUGGUUCUAUUCUGUUGGUCUCCGGAACACAAGGUAAUGAUCAAUGUGGACAGGCGGGGGCAUUCGUAUUGCGGCGUUUGAGGUGAAAUUCUUGGAUCGUCGCAAGACGCACUAGAGCGAAAGCAAUUGCCAAGUAUGUCUUGAGCUUUCCCCGGGAAACCAAAGCUUUUGGGUUCCGGGGGAAGUAUGGUUGCAAAGCUGAAACUUAAAGGAAUUGACGGAAGGGCACCACCAGAAGUGGAGCCUGCGGCUUAAUUUGACUCAACACGGGAAACCUCACCAGGUCAGGACAUUGGAAUGAUUGACAGAUUGAUAGCUCUUUCUUGAUUCAGUGGGUAGUGGUGCAUGGCCGUUCUUAGUUGGUGGAUCGAUUUGUCUGGUUAAUUCCGAUAACGAACGAGACUCUAGCCUAUUAACUAGACCCGUUUGGUAUCGAAUCUACCGGCGAACAAUAUUCUUCUUAAGGGGACAGGCGGCUUUUAGCCGCACGAGAUUGAGCAAUAACAGGUCUGUGAUGCCCUUAGAUGUCCUGGGCCGCACGCGCGCUACACAGAAGGAAUCAGCGUGUGCGUUCCCUUGGCCGAAAGGUCCGGGUAACCCGCUAAACCUCCUUCGUGCUAGGAAUUGGGGCUUGCAAUUGUUCCCCAUGAACGAGGAAUUCCCAGUAAGCGCGAGUCAUAAGCUCGCGUUGAUUACGUCCCUGCCCUUUGUACACACCGCCCGUCGCUACUACCGAUUGAAUGAUUUAGUGAGGUCUUCGGACUGGCGGUAAGCCCAACCGACUUUGUCGGUUUUGUCGAACGCUGGAAAGAUGACCAAACUUGAUCAUUUAGAGGAAGUAAAAGUCGUAACAAGGUUUCCGUA
rnacentral:rRNA from 1 species